rnacentral:rRNA from 1 species
GACGAACGCUGGCGGCGUGCUUAACACAUGCAAGUCGAACGGAAAGGCCCUGCCUUUGUGGGGUGCUCGAGUGGCGGACGGGUGAGUAACACGUGAGUAACCUGCCCUUGACUUUGGGAUAACUUCAGGAAACUGGGGCUAAUACCGGAUAGGAGCUCCUGCUGCAUGGUGGGGGUUGGAAAGUUUCGGCGGUUGGGGAUGGACUCGCGGCUUAUCAGCUUGUUGGUGGGGUAGUGGCUUACCAAGGCUUUGACGGGUAGCCGGCCUGAGAGGGUGACCGGCCACAUUGGGACUGAGAUACGGCCCAGACUCCUACGGGAGGCAGCAGUGGGGAAUAUUGCACAAUGGGCGGAAGCCUGAUGCAGCAACGCCGCGUGCGGGAUGACGGCCUUCGGGUUGUAAACCGCUUUCGCCUGUGACGAAGCGUGAGUGACGGUAAUGGGUAAAGAAGCACCGGCUAACUACGUG